GGUGGCUCAGUGGUAGAGUGCUUGCCUUGCAUGCAUGAGGCACUGGGUUCAAUUCCUGAGCACCA
rnacentral:tRNA from 1 species